rnacentral:lncRNA from 1 species
AGUUCUGUGUAUACAGUGAUUAAGCACAUAGGUUCUGGAGCCAGUCUGUUUCUUUCAAAAUCACCUCAUUGCUUUUGAAGAAUCAGGGAAACCCCCAUGAGACUACAGGUGUGAAGCAAGAUAGAAGCAUCAGUGCAAAAGAGUACUGCAUUUCCAAAUAAAGCCACUCACAAUCUUUAAUCAGGCUGUAAAUUUUAAGAAAUCUGGACCAAGACAGUUUGCUCCAAGAGUAUCCCACAAAUGCAGAUCUUCAGAGUGAGAUUUUAUUAUUGGAUUGCUCACCUGUCUGUUGAUUCUCUUACUGAGAUACCUUGGAACAUGGUUUGAAUAAUAUUGCUCUAACUUCUUUCAUGUCAGGAAGCUCUGAGAUGCAGAAACACAGAAAGGAAGAGGAUUAGCAACUUUCCCAGAUCUGAGUUGAGCUGAGAUUUGAGUCAAGGCAAUAUUGCUUCUGGGGCUGUAACAACUACAUUUUAUUGUCUCCUGAACAGAUACUUCCUUUUCUUACUUAAUAAGAAUAGACCUUGGAGGUCUGGACCUGGACAUGAACGUACACUUUUCUAAAGAAGAUAUACACAUGGCCAACAAGCAUGUGAAAAAAAGCUCAAUAUCACUGAUCAUUAGAGAAAUGCAAAUGAAAAUCACAAUGAGAGACCAUCUCACACCAGUCAGAAUGGCUAUUAUUAAAAACUCAAAAAAUAACAGAUGCUGGCGAGGUUGCAGAGAAAAGGGAACACUUAUACACUGUUGGUGGGAGUGUAAAUUAGUUCAACUAUUGUGUAAAGCAAUAUGUCAAUUCCUCAAAGAGCUAAAAAAGAACUACCAUUGGACUCAGCAAUCCCAUUACUGGGUAUAUACUCAGAGGAAUAUAAGUCACUCUACUAUAAACACACACGCAUGCAAAUUUUCAUUGUAGCACUAUUUACAAUAGCAAAGACAUGGAAUCAACCUAAAUGCUCAUCAAUGACAGAUCGGAUAAAGAAAAUAUGCAUCUUCAACCUUUCUGGACUACAGCACCUGCCAACUGACCCCCACAUCAUGGCUCCAACGCUGGCUUCAUCACAUAUCUUCUCUCUCAGUCCCUUUGGCUCUCAGGGUGCAAUAGCUUAACAAAAUUGCUGAUCUAGGUGCCUCAGCAUUGUUUCUUUGUCAUAGUCUCUGUAUUAUCUUAUUUUGAGCCAUUCUUUUCCUGCAAAGAUCCUAACUGAAUGAGAUAACUACUUCAUAAGCUAUUUGUAAGGUUUAAAUAAAUUAAUGCAUAUUUAAUACA